GCUGCGUUCUCCAACUGGUAUAUCUCGAGUUCAAGUUUUGAGGACCAAAAAACGAAAUACAUUCGGGAACAACAAUUGGCAACGUCACUAAAAUUCAUAACAUUAGGAAAAUACUACAGUUUUGGGCAAAAGGCCUUUGGCAGGGGAAAAAACUCAGUUGAGAGAGUACACGUCUCUCUUUCAAGUUGUGGGCAGGAAGACAUUGAAUGCCACCAGGGUAAAGACAAGAACUAAGUAAGUACGUUUUUCCAAGGAAGAGAGAAACUGAGAAGGCCAUGGACCAAAAGGUCGUCGCACUCUUUCACAGCUGAGUGAGCUGUGUCUCUAAAAUGAGUCACUCUGGGGAGAGAGAGGAGGAGCCCACUGCCUCUAAAACGAGUCUCUCUGGGGAGAGAGAGGAGGGGACCACUG